rnacentral:rRNA from 1 species
AUCUUGAGAGCGGCGCACGGGUGCGGAACACGUGUGCAACCUGCCUUUAUCUGGGGGAUAGCCUUUCGAAAGGGAGAUUAAUACCCCAUAAUAUAAUGAGUGGCAUCACUUGUUAUUGAAAACUCCGGUGGAUAGAGAUGGGCACGCGCAAGAUUAGAUAGUUGGUGAGGUAACGGCUCACCAAGUCAAUGAUCUUUAGGGGGCCUGAGAGGGUGAUCCCCCACACUGGUACUGAGACACGGACCAG